GCCGGUAAGGGUGAAAUGGUGAGGCAAGAGCUCACCGCGCACGUGGCGACACUGUGCGGCGCGGCAAACCCCAUUCGGAGCAAGACCAAAUAGGAAGACCUCUGUGCGCAUAGACACUAGGAAGACCACACUUCCUUUGGUUUUCGGGUAGGUUGCUUGAGCCUAUCGGUAACGGUAGGCCUAGAUGAAUGAUUAGACAUGGGCUUGCAAAAGCCCAGGACAGAACCCGGCUUAUAGGUUCCCUCGAGAC
rnacentral:RNase_P_RNA from 1 species